GAGUUUGAUCCUGGCUCAGGAUGAACGCUGGCGGCGUGCCUAAUACAUGCAAGUCGAGCGAACAGAUAAGGAGCUUGCUCCUUUGACGUUAGCGGCGGACGGGUGAGUAACACGUGGGUAACCUACCUAUAAGACUGGAAUAACUCCGGGAAACCGGGGCUAAUGCCGGAUAACAUGUUGAACCGCAUGGUUCUACAGUGAAAGGCGGCUUUGCUGUCACUUAUAGAUGGACCCGCGCCGUAUUAGCUAGUUGGUGAGGUAACGGCUCACCAAGGCAACGAUACGUAGCCGACCUGAGAGGGUGAUCGGCCACACUGGAACUGAGACACGGUCCAGACUCCUACGGGAGGCAGCAGUAGGGAAUCUUCCGCAAUGGGCGAAAGCCUGACGGAGCAACGCCGCGUGAGUGAUGAAGGUCUUCGGAUCGUAAAACUCUGUUAUUAGGGAAGAACAAAUGCGUAAGUAACUGUGCGCGUCUUGACGGUACCUAAUCAGAAAGCCACGGCUAACUACGUGCCAGCAGCCGCGGUAAUACGUAGGUGGCAAGCGUUAUCCGGAAUUAUUGGGCGUAAAGCGCGCGUAGGCGGUUUUUUAAGUCUGAUGUGAAAGCCCACGGCUCAACCGUGGAGGGUCAUUGGAAACUGAAAAACUUGAGUGCAGAAGAGGAAAGUGGAAUUCCAUGUGUAGCGGUGAAAUGCGCAGAGAUAUGGAGGAACACCAGUGGCGAAGGCGACUUUCUGGUCUGUAACUGGCGCUGAUGUGCGAAAGCGUGGGGAUCAAACAGGAUUAGAUACCCUGGUAGUCCACGCCGUAAACGAUGAGUGCUAAGUGUUAGGGGGUUUCCGCCCCUUAGUGCUGCAGCUAACGCAUUAAGCACUCCGCCUGGGGAGUACGGCCGCAAGGCUUAAACUCAAAGGAAUUGACGG
rnacentral:rRNA from 1 species